CCGACCCCAUCUUCCUCCGCCGCCUCGCCGCACCGGCCGGCAUCACCGGAGAUCACCGCCACCGGGAACAGGUCACGUCGCCGCACCUGCCUUCUCCUUCUCCCUCUUCAUCCUCCCUUCCUCUCACCAUCUCUCUCUCCCUCCCAUUGCAGCGCCGCCAUGGCUGUCCCGAGCUUUGCCGGCAGCCGCGCCGCGUGAAUCCGGCCGGAUCUAGCCGCCCUUGCCCAGAUCCGCAUCCUCCGCUCCGCCGCGCCCCGGAUUCGGCCACUACCAAGCCUCCCAUCCGCCGGCCUUCCCCUGCUCGACUCGGGUGGACGGGCGAAGUUUCUGACUUGCCAUUAUAGUUGACCUGAAGCUCCGUUGUUUAGGACCAUUGCUGCUGCUGUAGGUUAGGGAGAAGGCUCGAGGCAGCCACGAAUUCCGUCCUGCACUACUUCAACACCGACCUAUUCUAGCAUGAAUCUUCUGCCGUGAGGUAUUUUCUUGUGCACUUGGAUGCUUGUACCAAUAUUUAAGGCUUUUCGUUCGUGAAAUUGAGCACUAGGUGGUCAAACUAUAGGUUUACUUCAUGUUUCUUCCCUUGGUAGUUUACAGAUCUUUCCUGUAUUGAUGAUAUUGUCCUAAAUUUCGUUUGAAAUUGAGGGGAUGUGAUUUUUCUAGCCCUCAAGCAAAAAAGUGAUUGAGGGUUCCAGCUAUACGACGAAACUAAUCUCAGUAGUUUAAGUUUUCACUACACUUUUCGCAUGCUUGAGGUUGAGGUUAAUUUCCUAUCUACGAAAUUAUGAUAUAAGCAUUUUAUGCUUGUGUUUAAGUCAGCACUGCCUCCUCUUAUUUUGUGUGUGUGUUUUUAACCUAUAUGAGUGCAGCUGCAGAAUGUGCCACUGACGUCACCAUUAUAUAUGCAGGAUUUGAUGCAGCAAGGGCCAUUUGUUUGACAGAAACAGAGUGGUUACCGCAAGAGAGGUACAAAUCAAGGACCGAGGAGGGACGAGGGCGGCUUUGAUCUAAGUUGGGUCACUUUCUAUGAAUAGAUGAUGUGAUUGCUUUGUUAUUUUGUUUAAUUAAUAGAAAAAUUGAUGAGGCAAUUGGAAGAAUCAAGCAGGAAUUUUACUACAUAUCUGCGCCAUUGAUUUGGUCAUCUCUGUCACUAGCAAGUUGCAUAAGAAAGAGUGUGGUGUUGUAGAGGCGUGUAUAGUUGUGAGUCCCUCGAUUAUAAAGCGGAUCCAGGUGAAAGAUGUAGGUGGUGUGCGGAUUGAACUCUAGAUCGGGAACCUACAGUACUAGAUGGACGAUAACUAUGCUUACAAUUGUUGACCGAACACUGUGAGGUAUGUGCCUGUCCCUCUUCCACCCAUAUCAACAUGUAAUUUUGUAAGAAGCUAAUUUAGUGUAGCAAGAACAUCAUAUUUUAGAUACGGUCUGCAGAUCGAUGUACUUUGUCCGUCUUUCCUUCACCAAAGCAUGCGUUGUGAGAUCAUGAUUACUACCAGGUAGUACAACAUUGCAAUUUAUUUUCCAGAAUGUUCCUUGAACACACUCCCAAGUUCCCAACCAUCAGUAAUUAUAGUCUCCUCAAUUCAGAUGCAUAAUUACAUAAUAUU
rnacentral:lncRNA from 1 species